rnacentral:rRNA from 1 species
CCUACGGGUGGCUGCAGUGGGGAAUAUUGCACAAUGGGCGCAAGCCUGAUGCAGCCAUGCCGCGUGUGUGAAGAAGGCCUUCGGCUUGUAAAGCACUUUCAGCGGGGAGGAAGGCGGUGAGGUUAAUAACCUCAUCGAUUGACGUUACCCGCAGAAGAAGCACCGGCUAACUCCGUGCCAGCAGCCGCGGUAAUACGGAGGGUGCAAGCGUUAAUCGGAAUUACUGGGCGUAAAGCGCACGCAGGCGGUCUGUCAAGUCGGAUGUGAAAUCCCCGGGCUCAACCUGGGAACUGCAUUCGAAACUGGCAGGCUAGAGUCUUGUAGAGGGGGGUAGAAUUCCAGGUGUAGCGGUGACAUGCGUAGAGAUCUGGAGGAAUACCGGUGGCGAAGGCGGCCCCCUGGACAAAGACUGACGCUCAGGUGCGAAAGCGUGGGGAGCAAACAGGAUUAGAUACCCGGGUAGUC